rnacentral:rRNA from 1 species
AUUGAACGCUGGCGGCAGGCCUAACACAUGCAAGUCGAACGAGUGGCGGACGGGUGAGUAAUGUCUGGGAAAAUGCCUGAUGGAGGGGGAUAACUACUGGAAACGGUAGCUAAUACCGCAUACCAUCAGAUGUGCCCAGAUGGGAUUAGCUUGGUGGUGGGGUAACGGCUCACCAAGGAGGCGAUCCCUAGCUGGUCUGAGAGGAUGACCGGCAACACUGGACCUGAGACACGGUCCAGAGUCCUACGGGAGGCAGCAGUGGGGAAUAUUGCACAAUGGGGGCAAGCCUGAUGCAGCCAGGCCGCGGGGAGGAAGAAGGCCUUCGGGUGGUAAAGUACUUUCAGAGGGGAGGCGUUACCCGCAGAAAAAGCACCGGCUAACUCCGUGCCAGCAGCCGCGGUAAUUC